UUGUGGAGGAGGACGCCGAAGGUGGGGCUAAUGACUGGGGUGAAGUCGUAACAAGGUAGCCGUACCGGAAGGUGCGGCUGGAUCACCUCCUAACAGGGAGACAACAAAAUGUUUAAUAUUAUUAUUUUGUCACCUUAGGUCGAUCGGUAUCUCACGUUCUUAAUUUGUUAAGAAUUUCAUUUCCUAAGUUUUUCUAGGUCACACCCAUUAUUUUCCUGGGCCAUUAGCUCAGGUGGUUAGAGCGCACCCCUGAUAAGGGUGAGGUCCCUGGUUCAAGUCCAGGAUGGCCCAUAUCUCUAUGUUGGGGGUAUAGCUCAGUUGGUAGAGCGCCUGCUUUGCAAGCAGGAUGUCAGCGGUUCGAGUCCGCUUACCUCCACUGAUUACCACCUCUUCCAUAAUCUGUAGAAAGGAAAAUUUUUUGAGUUGUGAUCAUUAUUCUGAACGAAUCUAGCUUCCUAAUGAAAUUACUAAGAUGCUGGACUCAUUGAAUUAAUUUCAUUGUUUUCAGAGAACCUUGACAACUGCAUAGAUUAUUUUUAAAGACAAUAAGCAUCUUUAAUGAUGCAGAUUUAUUAUUUGUGCAAAUGCAUUAAUAACAAUUCUAUUAAGCUGAUGCUUCAAUUAUGAAGUUAUUGGUCAAGCUACAA
rnacentral:misc_RNA from 1 species